GGAGGUGACGGGCGACCUGGUGGCGCUCCUGGUCUUCAAAACCAGCGCGGGGCUCAACAAAGCCUCGGGUGGGUUCGAUUCCCAUUCGCCUCCG
rnacentral:tRNA from 1 species